rnacentral:lncRNA from 1 species
GACAACACAACACAAAAGCCUUUUCUUCCGGUGCAAUCAACACAACUACACCACAAAACCACAAUCCGGACCCACAAAACUCACAACAAUGCAUCGUGACUAUAACAACACAACUAAACGCCCCAGAAAUACGAAACUUGGCAACACAACACAAAACCACAAUCCGGACCCACAAAACUCACAACAAUGCAUCGUGACUAUAACAACACAACUAAACGCCCCAGAAAUACAAAACUCACAACAAUGCAUCGUGACUAUAACAACACAACUAAACGCCCCAGAAAUACGAAACUUGGCAACACAACACAAAAGCAUUCCCUCCCGAUUGUAACAACACAACCACACCACAAAACC